GACGAACGCUGGCGGCGUGCUUAACACAUGCAAGUCGAACGGAAAGGCCCUGCUUUUGUGGGGUGCUCGAGUGGCGAACGGGUGAGUAACACGUGAGUAACCUGCCCUUGACUUUGGGAUAACUUCAGGAAACUGGGGCUAAUACCGGAUAGGAGCUCCUGCUGCAUGGUGGGGGUUGGAAAGUUUCGGCGGUUGGGGAUGGACUCGCGGCUUAUCAGCUUGUUGGUGGGGUAGUGGCUUACCAAGGCUUUGACGGGUAGCCGGCCUGAGAGGGUGAACGGCGACAUUGGGACUGAGAUACGGCCCAGACUCCUACGGGAGGCAGCAGGGGGGAAUAUUGCACAAUGGGCGGAAGCCUGAGGCAGCAACGCCGCGUGCGGGAUGACGGCCUUCGGGUUGUAAACCGCUUUCGCCUGUGACGAAGCGUGAGUGACGGUAAUGGGUAAAGAAGCACCGGCUAACUACGUG
rnacentral:rRNA from 1 species